AAUGAACGUUGGCGGCGUGGAUUAGGCAUGCAAGUCGUGCGAUAACCCCGCAAGGGGGGAAAGCGGCGAAAGGGAGAGUAACGCGUGGGUACCUGCCCCUUGGUCCGGAAUAGCUGCGGGAAACUGCAGGUAAUGCCGGAUAAUAUCCUCGGAUCAAAGGUGUGAUUCCGCCGAGGGAGGGGCCCGCGUUCUAUUAGCUAGUUGGUAGGGUAAUGGCCUACCAAGGCGACGAUGGAUACCGGGUGUGAGAGCAUGACCCGGCUCACUGGGACUGGGACACGGCCCAGACACCUACGGGUGGCUGCAGUGGAGAAUGUUCGGCAAUGGGGGCAAGCCUGACCGAGCGACGCCGCGUGCGGGAUGAAGGCCUUCGGGUUGUAAACCGCUGUCGUAGAGGAGGAAAUGCCAUGGGGUUCUCUCCAUGGUUUGACCUAUUCUAGGAGGAAGGACGGGCUAAGUUCGUGCCAGCCGCCGCCGUAA
rnacentral:rRNA from 1 species